rnacentral:lncRNA from 1 species
UUACAAUAUGCUGUAUUAGGCAUAUGUUUUGUUCUCUUUACAGAGAAGAGAUCUGGUACUGCCAUAGCUGAAUCAUAAGGCAUAUUUAAUGUUACUAAAUUAUGAAAAAUUACCCAUUAAAGUAGUUGUACCCCCUAUAUAUUAUGGCUGCAUGUUUCUCUGUUCUCUUACCCACAUGUCAUGUUACUAAAAUUUUAAAUGAGUUUCUCAUAAGAUAUUAUGAACUCACUUCUUUAAUUUGCAUUUCCUUAAUUACUACUGAGAAACAUUUUUCAUGUUUAUGACUAUUUAUAUUUCCUCCUUUGUACACUGCCUGUUUUCUAUUUGUUUAUUUAGUAUUUGAUUUAGAAAAUCUGUUUUCCUCCUGGGAACCAUGGAGUAUUCCUUGAGAAGUCUGAGAACAGAUUACCUUCUCUUUCAGACCAACAACUUUUGGGUAGAGACAAGUGAGAAUGAAUUAUUUUAGAACAAUAUUUCAAACAUGAAUUAGGAUGAGCUCUCUUAGUUAUUAAUAUAAAUUUAAACAGCGCUAUUCAAAGUAGAGCCAGCAGCAUCAGCCUUUUAUGUGCUUAGUCACUCACUCAUGUUCGAGUGAAUGACCGUCAGACUCCUCUGCCCAUGGCAUUCUCCAGGCAAGAAUAUUGGAGUGGGUAGACAUUCCCUUUUCCAGUGGAUCUUCCCAACCCAGGGAUUGAAUCCGGGUCUCUUGCACUGAAGGCAGAUUCUUUACCAUCUGAGCCACCAGGGUACAUUCUCAGGCUACUUUGUCAGAAGCUCUAGAGGCAAGUACAGCAAGCUAUUUUAAUUUAACAAGCUUCUAGGUGACUAAGAAGCACUAAACUAGACCAUUAAAAGAAGAAAAAAGUCAGUCAGUGAUUCUAAAACUAGGUUAAGACUAAGAUUUUAUUUGUUUUAUUAACAUUUUAAAAUUUUAUUAGUAGUAUACACAACAACUUGAAUAAGUCUCAGGAGAAUUACAUAGAGUGAAAAAAAGUUAUUUUCACAUAUAUACUAUAUUCUAUUUAUGUAAUAUUCUAGAAAUGAAAAAGUUAUAGAAAU